UGCACCGUGCAGCCAGCACCGAUGCAGCCCUUUGGCACGCAGGGGACGUGCCGGGGCAGUGCAAAGCGUGCGAGGGGCUGGGGGCUGCCCGCUUCCACCUGGGAGACCCCCAAAGGGCCGUCGGGCACUACCAGGAGGCCCUGAGGCUGCUGUCCCGCUGCCAGGGCACCCCCAGGGCGGACGGCGAGCGGGUUGUCACCGAGCUGACCCGCACCCUCCAGCUGCAGCUCUGCCUCCAGCGCCUCCCAGCCGUGGUGAGCAGCCCCCCAAGCCGGGGCCGGGAUCUGGGGGGCUGGUGUGGUACAGGGACAGCAGCAAAGCUCUGCGCGCUCCCGAGCCGUGCUUGCACACACCGAGG
rnacentral:lncRNA from 1 species